GAACACUUGGUGCAGGAAUCUUCUAAUUUUUUUUUGUUUUUGCAGUCUCUCCACCUACAAUAUACCAACUGGAAUUUCCCUUAUUUGAAAGAAAAUCUUCAGGGUAAAGAAGACAUUUACAAUGACACAAAAAGAUUCCAAAGGUAUCAUGGUCCUAAAGGGCUUUCCCCAAGGGACAGCACAGUGUGUUCCAGGCCCUGAUGAGAGUUUUCAGUGGUCUUUGCCUGAAGCAACCUUCUCCAGAGGGCUCUCUGGCAUGCUGCUCUUGGAAGAUACUCCUCUCACCAAGGCUGGAUUAUCUACUGCCACAGCUGAUUGUCCAACAUGCCAAGAACAGAAACUAAGGCUGCUCCUCGAUAUGGUAACAUCACUUAAGGAGAUUCAGCAGUCACUUGGUGACGAGUUGAUUAUAUCAAAAUCCUUGCAUCUUCAAAGGGGAAAAAAAUGUUUUAGCUCAACAGAGAGGGACAUGUGUUCUAGAUGUGGGUUUGCCUUCUCUGCCACACUGCCUUAGCCAGGACCAUUCCUUGGGGGUUCUGAUCUAUUGGCAUGAUAUCCCUCAUAAUACUGCCUCAGAGCAAGGCACCUGCUUAAAACAAAGGAGGGAUGACAGUGGGUAUAUGACAGUGGGUCCUACACAUAUGGCACCAUCCAGAAGCUAUCAGCAUUGGAAUGGCCUCUUGAAGAGGCAGCUAAGACUUCUGCUUAGAGAUGACCCUGUGAUGAUGGGGUGCCAGUGUUUAGGAUGUGCUAUAUAUCUUAAACCAAUUACCAUCAUAUGGUGCCCUGUUCCCGAAAGGAAGAAUACACAGAUCUGAGAACCAAGAUAUGGAAGGGGUGGCCCCACUGACAAUCACUCCCAGGGACCUACAUGAGGAAUCUGUGCUUCCCAUAACCAUAACUUUAGGUUAUGUGGGUCUAGAAGUCCCAAGUUCUGGAGAGAGACUCAAUCAGGCAAUACAGGAAGAGUUCCACUGAACUUACAGCCAAGGCUGCUGCCUGAGUCCUUUGGGCUGCCUCUGCCAGUAGAGCAGCAGGUGCAGAAGGGAAUGAUGAUACCUGCUUGAAUAAUUAAACCUGCUUAUUAUGAGGAGGUAGGACUGCAGUGACCUAAUGGAGGUGGGAAGAAAUAUGUUGGGCACUCAUGGUCAACUGGGUCACUCAGGCUUUCACUAGAAAUUGUCAAGUAGAGCAAAUGAGGCCUAACAAGAAAAUAAUACAGAGAAACUCACACCUACCCCACCCCAUACAAACCACUUAGACUAGCAGAAGUUUGGCCAAGAGAUAAGGAGAAUGUAGAAGGAAUGGAGUCAUGAGAGUCAGCUACGGCCCCAGGACCAACUGUAGCAGCCACUAACCAUGAAUCUUAAGCUUUGCUGUAAAAUGUGACAAUCAAAGCUGAAAGAAAUUGUGCCAGGAUGAAGGGAACUUAGUGUGAAAGGCAAGGAGCUCUGAACAGGGACCAGGGGGGAAAUGCAGUCUGAGUCCCACCACAUCCAUUUUACCAGACUGAUGUUCCCUCCCCAGCUGCUGUGUGUGUUGGCUGCUUCCUGCUCAUGGCACCUCUUUUCUCCAGAAAAUUGCCUUACCAUGAAAUAAUGCAUCCCCCUUCCUCAGGGGCUGGGGAACCACAGCCAGUGUUGGGGAAUAAACAGACAUAGGAAUAAAGCCUUUUCCUCAGAGUGGGGCAACUCUGUGGUGCUGUUUGUGAUCCAGAGCUCCUCUUGAGGCCAGGCUGAAACUGGACUCCAGUUGAACCCACUUCCUUGGCUGGCUUCUUGCCCCUCUCUUAGUCUGCUGACCUCACUCUCUGUCUCCUGAGAACAUUUUGUCCAACAUUCAUCUUCUCAAGAUUCCCCCUUUGGGGCUCUGUUUUUAGCAAACCUGAUCUAAGAUACUGUCUGUUUGGGGCUAAAUUGUGUCCCCCAAAAAGAUAUGUCCAAGUACCAACCCCUGUGAACUUAUUUGGAAAUAGGGUCUUUUUUAAUGUAAUCAAGUUAAAAUGAGGCCAUAUUGGCUUGGGAUAGUUCCUAAUCCAACAACUUGUGUCCUUGCAGGAGGAAGAAUACAGAUAGACCCACACAGAGGGAAGACUAUCAUGUUACAAUGGGAGCUGAGAUUAGAGUUGUGCUGCCAUAAAAGGGACCAUUGUGGAUUGCCAGCAACCACCAGAAGCUAGGGAGAAGCAAGGAUGCAUUCUUCCCUAGAACCUUCAGAGAGAGCAUGGCCCUACCAACAUGUGGAUAUUGGAUUUCUAACCUCCCAGUUUUAAGCCACUCAUUUAAGACAUUUUUGUUGUGCCAGCAAUGGGAGCCAAAUACAUUGUCAUUGGAGGCCCAACUUAAAUUUCAUUUCCUCUGUGAAACUCUCUCCCUGCUGAGUCCUGCACUGUUGACACCAGAAUCUCCACCAUAGCACCAGAAGCACACAUUUUCCCCUCCAUUCACUGCCUCUUACCACUUGCAGCCUGGUAAUACAUCUUCACUGUUUGUAGGUGCUAGACUAUAAGCUCUUGGAGAGCAAAGACCAGAGAUGAUACUUAUGCGACUUUCCCAGUUUAAGGAGUCUCUUUAGUUAGUACUAUGUUUGUGAUAGAAAACUAUAAAGAUAUUUUAUUGUGCAUUCCUAUUUUAGCAAACACUCCCCAUGAAUAAGAGAUAGAAAAAAAAAAUGAGAAUCAUUCAAAAUAAACAGUUUUUCUGUCU
rnacentral:lncRNA from 1 species